rnacentral:rRNA from 1 species
GGGGGGGGCAAGCGUUGUUCGGAAUUACUGGGCGUAAAGGGUUCGUAGGUGGCCCGCUAAGUCACACGUGAAAUCCCUCAGCUCAACUGGGGAACUGCGUGUGAGACUGGCAGGCUCGAGUGCAGGAGAGGAACGCGGAAUUCCAGGUGUAGCGGUGAAAUGCGUAGAUAUCUGGAGGAACACCGGUGGCGAAGGCGGCGUUCUGGACUGUAUCUGACACUGAGGAACGAAAGCCAGGGGAGCAAACGGGAUUAGAUACCCCGGUAGUCCUGGCCCUAAACGAUGAAUGCUUGGUGUGACGGGUAUCGAUCCCUGUCGUGCCGCAGUUAACGCGUUAAGCAUUCCGCCUGGGGAGUACGGUCGCAAGGCUGAA